rnacentral:RNase_P_RNA from 2 species
CUAGUAAGUCGGGUGAUUGCCGAGCACAUAACUUGUUAUGUGCUCGGAGGAAAGUCCGAACUUCCUCGAGCACAUGAAUUUAUGUGCUCGAUAAAAAAGUAGCGGCUAACAGCCGUCGGUCGCGAGGCUAGAGGUGCGAAAAGAAACGCUUCAGCCGAAAGGCAAGAGUAUCCUUCGGGAUAAUCCUGAUGGAAACAUCAGGCUGAUACGGCUAAAUCCUUACUGGAAGCAAGAACAAACCAAAAGUUCGAGGCCAUAUCUUGAGCUUUUGUGAAAAGUAGUUCGCUUGACCCUGAGAGUAAUCGAAGGGCUAGAUAGAUAAUCACACAAAUACAGAAUUCGGCUUAUAGACUUGCUAGGACU